rnacentral:rRNA from 1 species
UACGUAGGUGGCAAGCGUUAUCCGGAAUUAUUGGGCGUAAAGCGCGCGCAGGUGGUUUCUUAAGUCUGAUGUGAAAGCCCACGGCUCAACCGUGGAGGGUCAUUGGAAACUGGGGAACUUGAGUGCAGAAGAGAAAAGCGGAAUUCCACGUGUAGCGGUGAAAUGCGUAGAGAUGUGGAGGAACACCAGUGGCGAAGGCGGCUUUUUGGUCUGUAACUGACGCUGAGGCGCGAAAGCGUGGGGAGCAAACAGG